CCUUCGAUAGCUCAGUUGGUAGAGCGGAGGACUGUAGCGGAAGGUCCCAGGCAUCCUUAGGUCGCUGGUUCGAAUCCGGCUCGAAGGA
rnacentral:tRNA from 1 species